rnacentral:lncRNA from 1 species
UCAGUGCGAUUUAAAAACAGGAAGUGGAUUGUCAAUAGGAAGCUAAAAGAUGAAGAAGCGGUGGAGAUUAGAAGACCAUAUUCCACAGCAGUCAAGAGAGUGGACAGAAGAAAAUUGAGCCGGUGGGACGACGAGGAUCCCAAAGUGAAGAAAAAGAGUUGAUUUGUUGGAAAUCACUUUUUGUAUUUUUAAGAACAAUUUUCAUUUUCCGUUAUUUUCAUUUUUACUUUCGUUUGAACAUGUAAUUUUUGAAUUUUUGAAACAAUUUUUGGGUAGCAUCUACUGAGGGAUGCUAAAAAUUUUUAAAUCCACUGAAGGAUUCCAGGAAGGCUCAUUGUUUCCCCCAACAACAAUAGGGUUUAGUUCACCAUUGUCAUGGUGAAUCUAGAUGAAAA